rnacentral:rRNA from 1 species
GAGUUUGAUUCUGGCUCAGGACAAACGCUGGCGGCGUGCAUAACACAUGCAAGUCGAACGAAAUCUACAUGAUUUAGUGGCGAACGGGUGAGUAACACGUGAGAAACCUGCCUUACACAGAGGGAUAGCCGUUGGAAACGACGAUUAAUACCUCAUGACACCGUGACAUCGCAUGAUGAUGCGGUCAAAGAUUUAUCGGUGUAAGAUGGUCUCGCGCCUGAUUAGCUGGUUGGUGGGGUAACGGCCUACCAAGGCGACGAUCAGUAGCCGAUCUGAGAGGGUGGACGGCCACAUUGGGACUGAGACACGGCCCAAACUCCUACGGGAGGCAGCAGUGGGGAAUUUUGCACAAUGGGGGAAACCCUGAUGCAGCGACGCCGCGUGAACGAAGAAGGCCUUCGGGUUGUAAAGUUCUGUCCUUGGUGAAGAUAAUGACANAACCAAGAAGAAGCCCCGG